rnacentral:lncRNA from 1 species
UUGCGCCAUUGCACUCCAGCCUGGGCACUAGAGCAAGACUCGGUCUCCAAAAAAUAAAAAUAAAAAAUAACAAAAGGGUACAGAGGGUACCUAGAAAUGCUUUUACCUUAUUGUUCAGAGAACGUUGUUCUGUGGUGUUGGAAAAAUAAGCUCAGGAGUACUCAGCUGCUUUCCUCUGCUGUCUCUACCAGCUCUGAGCAGGCAGCAUGGCCAGCCACCUUGAUUAUAUGACCUCCAAGCUUCACAGACUUUCAAGCACAAACAGCAUAAACCAGGACUGUUCCAGACCCAGCAAGCAGGAAGUAUAGGCAGCCUUCCUCCGGUCAAAGAGUUCGCAGGUGGUGCUGAACGACUCCAGAACGUGAACUGCCCUACAGCAGGCAUCUUCUACAGUCAAGCUGAGGUCUCCUGGAGGUUACAAGCACCUGUAAAAGUGAUUUGCCAACAUCUUGUCCAAAUAAUUUCUCUCAUCUUUAUUUUUAUUAAAAAAAAUAAAACAGUCACCACCAACCACAUGACAACUCGC